UACGAAGGGGGCUAGCGUUGUUCGGAGUUACUGGGCGUAAAGGGCGCGUAGGCGGCCCUCCAAGUCGGGCGAGAAAGCCCACGGCUCAACCGUGGAAUUGCGCUCGAGACUGAAGGGCUCGAGGACGGGAGAGGAUGGUGGAAUUCCCAGUGUAGAGGUGAAAUUCGUAGAUAUCGGGAGGAACACCGGUGGCGAAGGCGGCGAUCUGGGUAGAGUACUGACGCUGAGGUGCGAAAGCGUGGGGAGCAAACAGG
rnacentral:rRNA from 1 species